CAACAAAGCAGACAGUCAUCAUACAAAAGUAACCUCUUCAAACAAACCCUGUGUCACCCAGCUUCCUGGGGAAUUUUGUGUAGGAAUCAAUUUUUCUUUUUCUCCUUGUACCACAUAUUGCCAUAGUCUCAUCUUCAAGAAUGAUCAGAGGCCUAUAAAAUAUGAUCUGAGGGAGAAGAUUGAAAGAAUUGGGGUUGUUUAGUCUGAAGAAAAGGAAGGUGUUGGGAAAAAUGGUAAUGAUCUUUCAAACAUAUAAAAUUUUUCUCUGCAGACAGAAGGAAUCAGUUUUUCUCUAUGUUUAGUGGGUCUAGGACAAAAGGUGAUGGACUUGGAGAUUUAAAAUAGAUAUUAGGAAAUUAUUUCAAACUGCAAAUGUAGUUUGGCAGUGGAAAUGAUUAUCUGGGAAUCACAUUUGCUGAAGGCUUUGAAAGGCAGAUUAGGUCACAUGUCUCAGGAAUGGUUUUAGUUGCAGUAGAUUAUAUGGAGAUGACCCCAAAAGGUUCCUGGCUGGUUUAUUAGGUUUUGUUUCUCUCAGGUGAUUUACAGCAGAUGCUUCACUGCUGUGUUAUUCUGAUUCUCACUCUUCCUUAUAUCCUCAGAAAAUGCCAGGAAGAAAAGAUGUCAGUAGGUAAAAAACUGGGUAACUGUAGGUCUUCUGCAAUAUCAGAGUGAUAAAAUGGCACUUGGAUAGAUUCAUGAGAACCUAGGGAGUAGGACCUGUCAGCUCUGGUUGACAGCUCUGCCCAAGCCCAAGAUCACCUAGUCUUUGUCAUUCCUUGCCAGAAAACUGUUGAAACUGUUUCUGGAUACUGAGUGAUGGCUACAGAUGAUUAUUCUGAAGGGUACUGUUCUGCACUUCCUGUUGAAGCUCUGGUCUGUGACAGCUUAGCUGCCUGGACUGCAGCAGACAAGUUACUGGAGACUGAACAGAAGGAAUGUGAGAAGGAGCCAUUGAAGAUUUUGUACUAAAAGUAUCAGGUGGUUGUGAAUGACUGCCCUUGGGAAAUUCACUUUAUCCUCUGGCCAGAAAUGUUUCUUCUUAACAUUUAGUUUUGCUUUUUGAUUAGUCUGUGUUUGUACAGCCUCCUCUUGGAGGGACAGGCUGGAAAUUUGUACCAGUAUUUGCUUUUGCAUGCUCAAACACUACUGUGCUUCCUGAAAAAAAAUUCUAGAAAACAACUAUAUCAUGCAGAAAACAGAAAUUAUCAUAAAUUAAACCUCUGACAGUAAAAGGAAUACAAGAAGGUAAUUGUACAAUUCCUUAGUCUGUUCUGAUUUUGGUUGUGUGGAAAUUCCUAUAAGACAUGAAAAUCUUGCUUGCUUACUUACAUGACAAAAGAGGAAAAAGGCCUUUUUUUUUUUUAGCAGAACAUACUGUUUAAACAAACACCACAGUGAACCAAGACAGCUAAAGGUACUGUAAGUCUGUAAUUUUUUUAUUUUUUAUAAUGUUUAGAAAUUUUUGUGUCUAAGAAUAAAUUAUUCUUCUUUUCAUUUAUUGUGAAGUGC
rnacentral:lncRNA from 1 species